rnacentral:rRNA from 1 species
UUGCACGCUGGCGGCAUGCUUUACACAUGCCAGUCGCACGGCAGCGCGGGCUUCGGCCUGGCGGCGAGUGGCGAACGGGUGAGUAAUGCAUCGGAACGUGCCCAGUAGUGGGGGAUAGCCCGGCGAAAGCCGGAUUAAUACCGCAUACGACCUGAGGGUGAAAGCGGGGGACCGAAAGGCCUCGCGCUAUUGGAGCGGCCGAUGUCGGAUUAGCUAGUUGGUGGGGUAAAGGCUUACCAAGGCGACGAUCCGUAGCUGGUCUGAGAGGACGACCAGCCACACUGGGACUGAGACACGGCCCAGACUCCUACGGGAGGCAGCAGUGGGGAAUUUUGGACAAUGGGGGCAACCCUGAUCCAGCCAUGCCGCGUGCGAGAAGAAGGCCUUCGGGUUGUAAACCGCUUUUGUUCGGGAAGAAAUCCUCUGGGCUAAUACCCCGGGGGGAUGGCGGUACCGGAAGAAUAAGCACCGGCUAACUACGUG